UACACGCAUGACACACUGCAUAUCAAUAAGCGGAGGAAAAGAAACUAACAAGGAUUCCCCUAGUAACGGCGAGUGAAGCGGGAAGAGCUCAAAUUUGAAAUCUUCAAGGGUUUCCCUUGACGAAUUGUAGUUUAAAGAAGUGUUUUCUGUUAGAGAGGUGGUAAAAGUUCUUUGGAAUAGGACAUCAUAGAGGGUGAGAAUCCCGUAUUUGAUCACUUUCUACUAACGUUGUGAUACACUUUCAAAGAGUCGGAUUGUUUGGGAAUGCAGUCCAAAAUGGGUGGUAAAUUUCAUCUAAAGCUAAAUAUUGGCGAGAGACCGAUAGCGAACAAGUACCGUGAGGGAAAGAUGAAAAGAACUUUGAAAAGAGAGUUAAACAGUACGUGAAAUUGUCAAAAGGGAAGCGUUUGACACCAGUGUUGUUUUUCCGAAAAUCAAUUAUGAAUGGCUUGAUUUUAAGUUUCAUGACCUUAAAAGCUUGUUUCUUAUUUUUCAUGUCUUUCGUAAUGCACUUUUCGGUUAACAAGUCAACAUCAAUUUCUUUUGUUGUAAAAGGUUAAGAGGAAGGUGGCUUUACUUUCGGGUAAAGUGUUUAUAGCCUUUUAACUCUGCAAUCGGAGAGAUUGAGGUCUGCAGCGUAGAUCCUUCGGGGUUAGAUACAUUUGUGCUAAGUUAUAGCUUUUCAUAGACAACUUGUUGACUAUGUUAAGUCUUGUAAUUUACUCGCAGAUGCUAUUUUACCUACGCUUAGGAUGUUGAUAGUCACAGCGUGUAC
rnacentral:rRNA from 1 species